GGCCAUGUGGCCUAAUGGAUAAGGCGUUUGACUUCGGAUCAGAAGAUUGCAGGUUCAAGUCCUGCCAUUGUCG